GACAGAGGCCUCAAGCGUUAGGCGGAAUCACUGGGCUUAAAGCGUGUGUAGGCGGAUCGUUAAGUGUCUUGUGAAAUCCCACGGCUCACCCGUGGAACGGCUGGGCAUACUGGCGAUCUUGGGCCAACUAGGGGCAACUGGAACAAGCGGUGGAGCGGUGAAAUGCGUAGAUAUCGCUUGGAACGCCAAAGGUGAAAACAGGUUGCUGGGGUUGUGCCGACGCUGGAGAACACGGAAAGCCAGGGGAGCAAACGGG
rnacentral:rRNA from 1 species